CUUCAUUAACUUUCACAGGCAAGCCUACACCAAGUUCCCACAAGACAUUAGAAUUAACGACUGUACAGAAAAUGAAUACUGUACAGAUGUCACACAGGUCAGUUGGCCAAGAAUUAACAGCAAAGUCCAUUAACCAGCAGUCAUCAAUCAAAUUUUCGACUUCUUCAAUCCAGCGAACACAACAAAAUUCGAAAGUAACAGUUGCUCAGUCUUCUCAGAAAUACACUUCAUCAGUCGGAACAACAAUACAUUCAUCGACAAAAGGAUCAAACAUUUCGACGACUAUUUUAAAUUCAACGUCUGGUUUUAGAACAACCAUUUCUACUACUCCAACACGACCUUGUAUAAAGUCUCACUCUCAAAAUUUUACAUUGUCGCAGAAUUUAAAGACGCAUUUAGCAAGGAAUAUAACGGAAAGCCAAUCAACAAUUCAAGGAAAACAAACAAAGAUAAAGCCUGCACAAACAUUAACUAAAACAUCGACAAAUCCAUUGGCUUCUGUCGUUGUUACGACGACAUUAAAAACCACGCAAACAUCGAAAAAUUCCUAUACAUUAACAAUCAUUCAAAGAAUUAAUAAUCUAUUGAAAACCAGAAACGUUACCAUGAAUCGAGUUUUAUCGACUGUCAAUAGUACACAAUCUGUCAAAGGAACUAAGACUUAUGGAGUAUGGUUAAAAACGUCUAGAAAAACGGUACACACAACAAACAUUAGACCAGCUGUAACAGAAGCUCCUACAGGUACAAAUCAAGAUGCGGACCUCGUUCUGAUAUUGGUCCUUGUCUUGACCUUACCACUUUUUGUUCUGUGUUGUAUAACACUAAUUUAUUGCUUAUUAAGAACAAAAAAUCGACGUCGUUGGAGUAAGAAGAAUGACAGAAAAUGCACUCGUUCUUAUAAGUCCGAAGAACCUUCCAAAUUU